AGGACGAACGCUGGCGGCAGGCCUAACACAUGCAAGUCGAACGCACCGCAAGGUGAGUGGCAGACGGGUGAGUAACGCGUGAGAACCUACCCUUUGGUACGGAACAUACCAGGGAAACCUGGGGUAAUACCGUAUGAGCCCUUCGGGGGAAAGAUUUAUCGCCAUUGGAUGGGCCCGCGUCGGAUUAGCUAGUUGGUGAGGUAACGGCUCACCAAGGCGAACGAUCCGUAGCUGGUCUGAGAGGACGAUCAGCCACACUGGGACUGAGACACGGCCCAGACUCCUACGGGAGGCAGCAGUGGGGAAUAUUGGUCAAUGGGCGAAAGCCUGAACCAGCCAUGCCGCGUGAGUGAUGAAGGCCUUAGGGUGUAAAAGCUCUUUCGGCGGGAAGAUAAAUGACGGUACCCGCAGAAAGAAGCCCCGGCUAACUUCGUGCCAGCAGCCGC
rnacentral:rRNA from 1 species